UGCAGUCGUACGAGAGUUUUUACUCAAGUGGCGGACGGGUGAGUAACACGUAAGAAUUUGCCUUUAGGAGGGGGACAACAACUGGAAACGGUUGCUAAUACCCCAUAUGCUUUCGAGUGAAACGGUUUUUCCGCCUAAAGAGAAGCUUGCGGCUGAUUACCUUGUUGGUAAGGUAAUGGCUUACCAAGGCGACGAUCAGUAUCUGGUUUGAGAGGACGAUCAGACACACUGGAACUGAGACACGGUCCAGACUCCUACGGGAGGCAGCAGUGGGGAAUUUUCCGCAAUGGGCGAAAGCCUGACGGAGCAAUACCGCGUGAGGGAUGAAUGCCUAUGGGUUGUAAACCUCUUUUUUCAGGGAGGAAUCAAUGACGUUACCUGAAGAAUAAGCAUCGGCUAACUCCGUGCCAGCAGCCGCGGUAAUACG
rnacentral:rRNA from 1 species